GCAUGGGUUGGAUUUAUGGCAGGCCCAUCCCCCUGGGCUUCUCAAAGUGUUCCAUACCAGAGCAAACUAUAGCUCUGAACUAUUACCUGUGGGCUACUG
rnacentral:snoRNA from 1 species